rnacentral:lncRNA from 1 species
CAACAAUUAGAUGAUAGCCUUGAUUCGCAAAAAGAGGAACUUGCAGCCAUAACAAAGUGUACAUGCUCAAAUCAGGUUUGGCGUGCCUUAAUCCACUGUGUUUAGAAUAAAUAUAAGUGACCGUGGUGCAAAUGCCAUAUAAAGAGCUCCACAUGUAGGAUCAUGGCCUUCGCGUCUAGAAUAAGAAGUGACCAUGGUGCAAU